GUGAACGCUGGCGGUAGGCCUAACCCAUGCAAGUCGAACGGCAGCACAGUAAGAGCUUGCUCUUACGGGUGGCGAGUGGCGGAUGGGUGAGGAAUACAUCGGAAUCUACUUUUUCGUGGGGGAUAACGUAGGGAAACUUACGCUAAUACCGCAUACGACCUACGGGUGAAAGCAGGGGAUCUUCGGACCUUGCGCGAUUGAAUGAGCCGAUGUCGGAUUAGCUAGUUGGCGGGGUAAAGGCCCACCAAGGCGACGAUCCGUAGCUGGUCUGAGAGGAUGAUCAGCCACACUGGAACUGAGACACGGUCCAGACUCCUACGGGAGGCAGCAGUGGGGAAUAUUGGACAAUGGGCGCAAGCCUGAUCCAGCCAUACCGCGUGGGUGAAGAAGGCCUUCGGGUUGUAAAGCCCUUUUGUUGGGAAAGAAAAGCAGCAGGUUAAUACCCCGCUGUUCUGACGGUACCCAAAGAAUAAGCACCGGCUAACUUCGUG
rnacentral:rRNA from 1 species